rnacentral:rRNA from 1 species
AUUGAACGCUGGCGGCAGGCUUAACACAUGCAAGUCGAGCGAGCGGCGGACGGGUGAGUAAUGUAUGGGGAACUGCCUGAUGGAGGGGGAUAACUACUGGAAACGGUAGCUAAUACCGCAUACUAUCAGAUGUGCCCAGAUGGGAUUAGCUAGUAGGUGGGGUAAAGGCUCACCUAGGCGACGAUCCCUAGCUGGUCUGAGAGGAUGAGCAGCCACAUUGGAACUGAGACACGGUCCAGACUCCUACGGGAGGCAGCAGUGGGGAAUAUUGCACAAUGGGCGAAAGCCUGAUGCAGCCAUGCCGCGUGUGUGAAGAAGGCCUUCGGGUUGUAAAGCACUUUCAGCGAGGAGGCGUUACUCGCAGAAGAAGCACCGGCUAACUCCGUGCCAGCAGCCGCGGUAAUAC